rnacentral:rRNA from 1 species
GACGAACGCUGGCGGCGUGCCUAAUACAUGCAAGUCGAGCGAAGUUUUUCUGGUGCUUGCACUAGAAAAACUUAGCGGCGAACGGGUGAGUAACACGUAAAGAACCUGCCUCAUAGACUGGGACAACUAUUGGAAACGAUAGCUAAUACCGGAUAACAGUAUUUCUCGCAUGAGAGGUAUUUAAAAGUUGGUUAUGCUAACACUAUGAGAUGGCUUUGCGGUGCAUUAGCUAGUUGGUGGGGUAAAGGCCUACCAAGGCGACGAUGCAUAGCCGACCUGAGAGGGUGAUCGGCCACACUGGGACUGAGACACGGCCCAGACUCCUACGGGAGGCAGCAGUAGGGAAUCUUCCGCAAUGGGCGAAAGCCUGACGGAGCAACGCCGCGUGAGUGAAGAAGGAUUUCGGUUCGUAAAGCUCUGUUGUUAGGGAAGAAUGGAUAUGUAGUAACUAUA